AUAUCAAUAAGCGGAGGAAAAGAAACUAACGAAGGAUUCCCCUAGUAACUGCGAGUGAAGAGGGAAAAGCUCAAAUUUAAAAUCUGGCUGGCUCUUCCGCAUCGUCCGAGUUGUAAUUUAGAGAAGCGUCUUCCGCGCCGGAACCGUGCACUAAGUCUCCUGGAAUGGAGCGUCAUAGAGGGUGAGAAUCCCGUCUUUGGCACGGAAUCCCCCAGGUGCUUCUGUCGAUGCGCUCUCGAAGAGUCGAGUUGUUUGGGAAUGCAGCUCAAAAUGGGUGGUGAACUCCAUCUAAAGCUAAAUAUUGGCGAGAGACCGAUAGCGAACAAGUACCGUGAGGGAAAGAUGAAAAGCACUUUGGAAAGAGAGUGAAACAGUAC
rnacentral:rRNA from 1 species